GACGAACGCUGGCGGCGUGCCUAAUACAUGCAAGUCGAACGCUUCUUUUUCCACCGGAGCUUGCUCCACCGGAAAAAGAGGAGUGGCGAACGGGUGAGUAACACGUGGGUAACCUGCCCAUCAGAAGGGGAUAACACUUGGAAACAGGUGCUAAUACCGUAUAACAAUCGAAACCGCAUGGUUUUGAUUUGAAAGGCGCUUUCGGGUGUCGCUGAUGGAUGGACCCGCGGUGCAUUAGCUAGUUGGUGAGGUAACGGCUCACCAAGGCCACGAUGCAUAGCCGACCUGAGAGGGUGAUCGGCCACAUUGGGACUGAGACACGGCCCAAACUCCUACGGGAGGCAGCAGUAGGGAAUCUUCGGCAAUGGACGAAAGUCUGACCGAGCAACGCCGCGUGAGUGAAGAAGGUUUUCGGAUCGUAAAACUCUGUUGUUAGAGAAGAACAAGUACGAGAGUAACUGCUCGUACCUUGACGGUACCUAACCAGAAAGCCACGGCUAACUACGUGCCAGCAGCCGCGGUAA
rnacentral:rRNA from 1 species